rnacentral:rRNA from 1 species
ACGGCUCAGUAACACGUAGUCAACAUGCCCAGGGGACGUGGAUAACCUCGGGAAACUGAGGAUAAACCGCGAUAAGUCACUACUUCUGGAAUGGGUAAUGACUUAAAUCUAUAUGGCCCCUGGAUUGGACUGCGGCCGAUCAGGCUGUUGGUGAGGUAAUGGCCCACCAAACCUGUAACCGGUACGGGCUCUGAGGGGAGGAGCCCGGAGAUGGGCACUGAGACAAGGGCCCAGGCCCUAUGGGGCGCAGCAGGCGCGAAACCUCUGCAAUAGGCGAAAGCCUGACAGGGUUACUCUGAGUGAUUUCCGUUAAGGAGAUCUUUUGGCACCUCUAAAAAUGGUGCAGAAUAAGGGGUGGGCAAGUCUGGUGUCAGCCGCCGCGGUAAUACCAGCACCCCGAGUGGUCGGGACGUUUAUUGGGCCUAAAGCAUCCGUAGCCGGUUCUACAAGUCUUCCGUUAAAUCCACCUGCUUAACAGAUGGGCUGCGGAAGAUACUAUAGAGCUAGGAGGCGGGAGAGGCAAGCGGUACUCGAUGGGUAGGGGUAAAAUCCGUUGAUCCAUUGAAGACCACCAGUGGCGAAGGCGGCUUGCCAGAACGCGCUCGACGGUAAGGGAUGAAAGCUGGGGGAGCAAACCGGAUUAGAUACCCGGGUAGUCCCAGCUGUAAACGAUGCAGACUCGGUGAUGAAUUGGCUUCAUGCCAAUUCAGUGCCGCAGGGAAGCCGUUAAGUUUGCCGCCUGGGGAGUACGGUCGCAAGNACUGAAACUUAAAGGAAUUGGCGGGGGAGCAC